UACAGAGGUCUCAAGCGUUGUUCGGAUUCAUUGGGCGUAAAGGGUGUGUAGGUGGCGCGUUAAGUCGGGUGUGAAAUUUCGGAGCUUAACUCCGAAACUGCAUUCGAUACUGGCGUGCUUGAGGACUGGAGAGGAGAUUGGAAUUCACGGUGUAGCAGUGAAAUGCGUAGAUAUCGUGAGGAAGACCAGUGGCGAAGGCGGAUCUCUGGACAGUUCCUGACGCUGAGGCGCGAAGGCCAGGGGAGCAAACGGG
rnacentral:rRNA from 1 species